GACAGCUGGCGGCGUGCUUAACACAUGCAAGUCGAACGGUGAGCUCGGAGCUUGCUCCGGGCGAUCAGUGGCGAACGGGUGAGUAACACGUGAGUAACCUGCCCCAGACUCUGGGAUAACCCCGGGAAACCGGAGCUAAUACCGGAUACGACACGAAGAGGCAUCUCUAUCGUGUGGAAAGUUUUUCGGUCUGGGAUGGACUCGCGGCCUAUCAGCUAGUUGGUGAGGUAACGGCUCACCAAGGCGACGACGGGUAGCCGGCCUGAGAGGGCGACCGGCCACACUGGGACUGAGACACGGCCCAGACUCCUACGGGAGGCAGCAGUGGGGAAUAUUGCACAAUGGGCGAAAGCCUGAUGCAGCGACGCCGCGUGGGGGAUGACGGCCUUCGGGUUGUAAACCCCUUUCAGCAGGGAAGAAGCGAAAGUGACGGUACCUGCAGAAGAAGCACCGGCUAACUACGUGCCAGCAGCCGCGGUAAUACGUAGGGUGCGAGCGUUGUCCGGAAUUAUUGGGCGUAAAGAGCUUGUAGGCGGUCUGUCGCGUCUGCUGUGAAAAUCCGGGGCUCAACCCCGGACUUGCAGUGGGUACGGGCAGACUAGAGUGUGGUAGGGGAGACUGGAAUUCCUGGUGUAGCGGUGAAAUGCGCAGAUAUCAGGAGGAACACCGAUGGCGAAGGCAGGUCUCUGGGCCACUACUGACGCUGAGAAGCGAAAGCAUGGGGGAGCGAACAGGAUUAGAUACCCUGGUAGUCCAUGCCGUAAAACGUUGGGAACUAGGUGUGGGUCUCAUUCCACGAG
rnacentral:rRNA from 1 species